AGGCGCGUAGCUCAGUGGCAGAGCACCGUUACACCGUGACGGCGGUUCAACAAACGUCGUCACGACGCAACUAAGGUCGCAGGUUCGACUCCUGCCGCGCCUACCA
rnacentral:tRNA from 1 species